rnacentral:lncRNA from 1 species
ACCUGCUACAGCUGCCUCAAAGAAUAUUGGAACAAAUUGUUUUUAUAUGUCUGUUCUACCAGGGGAAGUCUUCACAUGUUUUCAAUAGGAAUCUCCCCUAAUUCACCUAUGAGUUUGAGGCUUGCCAAGAUGGUUUUCCUGAGUAUGGCUGCUGAGUAUACCUUGGAGUCACAGAGAGGUGGCUCUGGUGGUAGUGUGCUGAGCAUCUUGGCAUCUUGGCUUGGCAGAAGCUAUUGUCCGGGUUUGGCGGUUGACACUGUGAUGUGGCUGAGUCAAAUCAGGGGCUAGCAAUCAGGAGAAGAUGA